UGCUCUUAAGAUAUUCGUUAACAAAUUUUAUUUAAUAUUUGUCCAAUUAAAACAAAAUUUAAAGUCAAUGACUUUAAUUAGAGCACCAUGGGAAGGUUUGUAUUGGAAACUGACCGAUCAAGCUAUGAAUAACGUCGAGCAAUGGCAAAUUCAAUAAAUAUGAUCAUUGAUACAUACAUAUAUAUAUAUAAUCUUUUGCAGGCCAAUAAGUAAAGACCCCAGAUUGAACAGAGAUGAUGAAGUUCAUAUAAAAGGAACCAAGUGCUUCAAAGAAAACUAAUUACGCAAACAGUAGCCCAAAUGGCCUUUCACCUUCCACAUGAACGGGUGUAAGUCCCACAAUUUUGUUGCACGUUGGGGCGGUUUGGGUCCGGAAGGCAGCUGUCAUACGGCUGGUUUCUCCCACAAUUUGCUGCUGGUUGACCAGCAUUGCCUGUGUUCCCAGUCACAGUUCCACCGCUUUGAAGGAUUCUACUGCUAUGAGAAUCCAUCAGGUACUCCAACUCGUCAUCGUCGGCAAUGAUUGAGGUACUGCUGUUGGUUUCCAUUGACAUAGCUCUACAAGGAUUCAUUGAAUUGUAGAAUAUAAGCACUAAAAUUGCAAGAGAAAGACAUUUUUUCUUCAUUUGGGCUUCCAUAUUUUUUCUACUCUCUUCUCUCUCAAAUGCCAAUCAAUGACACAGCUCAAACAGGUUCAUUUAAAGUCAUGGAAUC
rnacentral:lncRNA from 1 species